UCCGGAUACGGCUUUCACUCAGGAGCGAGGAAAGCCGGAAACGCUCCGGCGCCGAAGGAUGUGACUGCGGCCGAUUAGGUAGACGGUGAGGUAACGGCUCACCGUGCCGAUAAUCGGUACGGGUCGUGAGAGUGAGAGCCCGGAGACGGUAUCUGAGACAAGAUACCGGGCCCUACGGGGCGCAGCAGGCGCGAAACCUUUACACUGCGCGACAGCGCGAUAGGGGGAUCCCAAGUGCGAGGGCAUACAGUCCUCGCUUUUUCCGACCGUAAGGUGGUCGGCGAAUAAGAGCUGGGCAAGACCGGUGCCAGCCGCCGCGGUAAUACCGGCAGCUCGAGUGAUGGCCGCUAUUAUUGGGCCUAAAGCGUCCGUAGCCGGCUAGACAGGUCCGUCGGGAAAUCCACCUGCUCAACGGGUGGGCGUCCGGCGGAAACCAGCUAGCUUGGGACCGAGCGACCUGAGGGGUACGCCCGGGGUAGGAGUGAAAUCCCGUAAUCCCGGACGGACCAUCGGUGGCGAAAGCGCCUCAGGAGAGCGGAUCCGACGGUGAGGGACGAAAGCUAGGGUCUCGAACCGGAUUAGAUACCCGGGUAGUCCUAGCCGUAAACGAUGCUCGCUAGGUGUGGCGCUGGCUACGAGCCAGCGCUGUGCCGUA
rnacentral:rRNA from 1 species